rnacentral:lncRNA from 1 species
UGGGUAAAAAUUAAAAGCUGCUCUCACAAAAAUAAAAUCUCAAUAUUCAAUUUUGUUCAACCUUCCAGUAACUGUUUAGGAUUAAGAAGUCCCAUAUACAAUGGAGCAUGAGGUGCAUCUUGAACCUCUGGGCAUCUCUCAGUCUAUCCUGGGAAUAUGGCUGGAAAAACAGGAGGCAGGGAUGGCAGAGCCUGUAACAUAAUAUGACAAAGUGCUA